GUUGGGUGUGGUGUUGCAUGCCUGUAGUUUUAGCUAUUCCAGAGGCUGAGGAGGGAGGAUCACUUGAGCCCAGGAGUUCAAGGCUGCAGUGAGCUGAUUGCACCACUGCACUCCAGCCUGGGCAACAGAGUGAGACCCUGUCUCUU
ensembl:misc_RNA Metazoa_SRP Metazoan signal recognition particle RNA